rnacentral:sRNA from 1 species
GCUGGGCAUGGUGGUGUAUGCCUGUAAUUCCAGCAUCUGAGGAGGCUGAGGCAGGAGGAUCACGAGUUCAAAGCCAGCCUCAG